AAAAUAAAGUCAGUUAUCUACCUUCUGCUAAUGGCUGUGUUGUGCCUGUGUGUACAGGGUCCCUCGAAAGCACCUAGGGCCGAUCAUCGGAAAACCAGCAGCAGAUUUUUCAUAUUUGGCACAGAAAUCCUGGAGGGUGUCCUAACUCAUAGUCUAUUCAGAUCUUGUGCCAUAAUGACUGGGUUAUGUCAACUUAUCCUUUUCCUGUGGAAAUCUAGGAAAUGACAGAAAUCAUUUACAGAAUUACUGGGACUGAAAUCCCUUGAUACUGUGUGGAACUACAAGUCUAAGAAAAAGAGUGUCUGUAGAUACUCAUUUCUAAGUUUUAGUUUCAGGAAGAUUAUUGCUCACAAAGAACACUUCUUGCCAUCUCCCUGUUUUCUCCCUAGAUUGUUUAUGAUUCUUCUGUUACUUCUUUUAAAGAAGUGUGUUUUAUUAGUUCAGAUACUAUGAGGAAGCUCUCUGUUAUCAGAAGAGAAUUCAUUGCAGUUUAUUUGCUGAUGUGUCUGAGUUAAAUCAUACUGUUUAAAUAAUACUAGCCUAAUAAAUAAACAUCCAUUUGCA
rnacentral:lncRNA from 1 species